CCCUCUCUUUCGUUUUUCUUGCCUUUUUGGCUCAAUAAUACUUUGGAAGCUUAGUCUUUCCAUUUCUCCCUGCAUGUGAGGUCCUUUUCCCCUUCUUGGUGGAACUCUACUCUUCAUCCUCACUCUUCUCAAACUUUCCCAACCAGGGCCUCACCGGAUCUGCCGAUCUCGUCCUCCGUCCGCACUGCCUCCACCCUACCAGAUCUGCCGGAUCGUCCGUCUCCUAAGUGGGUUGGGCAUCAGAUCUACUCCUCCUACCACCUCUCCACCACCGGUUUGCCAUGGAUCCUGAUUUGGAGGAAAGUGGAUUGUGCAAGCCACGUCCGUAGACGUGAACGUCACCUUGAUCGCGGAUUCCGAUGGAUUUUGAGAAUGUUGCUUGUUUGGAUGUGGAUAUGGCCAAUACUGUCGUCAAGGUUGGAGGUUGUAUUUUGUUUGCUUCUGCUGAUUUGGACUCCAAGUGGUUGAGGGAAUGAGGUUAUUGUAUCAUUCAACAUAUUACGUUUUUGGAGGCUUUUGGGAAAGCAGAUUGUGCAGGCUACGUCUGUGGGUGUGAAUGUCAUCUUGAUCGCAGAUUCCGAUGGAUUUUGAAAAUGUUGCUUGUUUGGAUGAGGAUAUAGCCAAUACUGUUGUCAAGAUUGGAGGUUAUGUUUGGUUUGCUUCUGCUGAUUUGGACUCUAAGUGGUUGAGGGAAGGAGCGACGUGAUUGAAGGUUGGAAUGAUAGCCCAUCAACCAUGUUCCCGACAUAUAGAAGUCUCAUUGCCUCUGGCCUUCGUAUACUUAUUUACAGCGGUGAUGUGGAUGCAGUUGUUCCAGUGACUAGCACUCAAUAUUCCAUUGAUGUGUUAAAAACCUUGGCAUCCUUGGACCGAUGAUGGAGAAUUUCAAGCAGCGGGAUAUAAAGUGGUAUAUGAUGAAUUGACUUUCGCAACAGUUCUAGGCGCUGGUCAUCAAGUUCCAAUAAUUCAGCCGUGCAGAGUUUUGGCCUUAUUUAAGAUGUUUUUAGCAGGAAAUUAAAGUUGGAAUGCACGUGAAUUUGACUGUUAACUACUACUAUUAUUCGUGUUAAGUAAGAUUAAGUUGCUUCGAAUCAAGUUAAAUAUAUGUCAAUCUAUUUUAUUGAUGGCUAAUUUGAGAUUAUCAGUUUGAAAAGGGUGAGUCUUUACUAGCAGAGACACCAUCGAAGAAAAAGUUCAAUUUCUAAAAUAUUGUUGUAUCUUCCAUGGAAGCACAUCAAUCGACUUCGCUCUUCGUUGUGCUAUGGAUCUCAGCUGAGUGGAUUACCAUGUUGGUGACAAGAUUGAAUGAGUUUGGUGCUAAAAAUUCAGUAGACUCUGAUAUAUUUUUGAUGUUGAAGAACAUUUAAUGAUUAAACCUCACCAAAAAGCAGGCCUGUUAGUUAACCUUUCGUUGUCCAACUCUUCACCCCUCUUGUUAUUGUCUUCAUUUUGGCACGAUAUGGGGACGGAGAGAGAGAAUUUUAAAAAUAAAUCUUGUGAUUUGUGAAUCUUGGUAAAAACCCAAAAUGAAAAAACACAAGAAAAACAUGUUUCAGCAAACAAAAAUCAUUGUAAGAUGUGCAAAGCAUAGAUAAUGUCAAUGGGGUUGAAAGUCCAACAAGAAAACUUCCAAAAUGUGUCACAGAAGUUUGUAUAAAAGGCAUGAUAAUUGGAUCGAUCAAACAACAUUUGGUUCUGUUUUGCAUCAAUGAAGAAAGUCGCAAUCCUACUACCGCUUUUUCAUUCAUGCCUUGUUGCUUUAGUCCAUUGUUAUGGAGGAAUUGGAUUUGACCCCCUUGAGAAAAUUUUAGAAAAACAAUCUUCGAAACAGCAGGAAGUCAAUUAUGUCACUGAGAGCACGGCCACAGAGUAUUCACCGGUGUAUGUAGACCCUCAAGAUGGACUGAAAGCUGCUGACAAGAUUGUAUCUUUGCCGGGGCAGCCUAAUGGAAUUAACUUUGAUCAGUACUCUGGCUAUGUUAGGGUUGAUCCCAACGCUGGCAGAGCACUUUCUACUAUUUUGCCGAGUCUCAGAAUUCUUCUAGCAAGCCUCUUGUGCUGUGGUUAAAUGGAGGACCUGGCUGCUCUUCGUUUGGCAAAGGAGCAAAGAUGGAGCUCGGACCAUUUCGAGUCAACAG